rnacentral:rRNA from 1 species
CACACCCUAAACGAUGAAUACUAGAUGUUGGUCUUUUUAAAAGAUCAGUAUCCAAGCUAACGCAUUAAGUAUUCCACCUGGGAAGUACAAUCGCAAGGUUGAAACUCAAAGGAAUUGACG